GAGCUUGACAAUGAGGAGAUGGUUUCUUAUAUUCUUGCAGGGUUAAAUAUGGACUACAACCCGCUUGUAUCCUCCGUCAUUGGCAGGACAGACCACAUCUCUCUAAGUGAUCUAUAUGCUCAUAUGCUCUCCUAUGAAA